rnacentral:misc_RNA from 1 species
AACGCACCUUGCGCCUCUUGGUAUUCCGAGGGGCAUGCCUGUUUGAGUGUCAUGAAACCAUCAAUGAGGACCUUUCUUCUCAGAGAGAGGCUUUCUUGUUGGAAUAUGGAGUGUGCUGGCUUGUUCAGCUCCUCUGAAAUGCAUUAGCGAUGUGGUGUUUCCGCACCUGCUUGAGCUUCAUUGGCAUUGAUAGUCAUUCAUGUCAGAGUUGUUCAGCUGUGGAAAGGUUCACUUGCUCCUAAUUGUGAUGGACACUCUCCAUCCUUUGACCCAAUAUAACCUCAAAUCAGGCAGGACUACCCGCUGAACUUAA